AAGAACCGCAGUGGCUCUGGCCAGCUCUGGAGCCCUGGAGUCAGCUCCCGCAGUAACUCCGGAGCUCUCUGUCUAUAGGGGUCUGGAUGCUCGGGGGCAGG
rnacentral:pre_miRNA from 1 species